AUUUUCAAGCUCCAAUCCCCCGCGCGCGUCAGUGAGUGGUGCCGUUCAGCCGGCCGGCCGGCCUGGUGCGCAAUCAUCAGAUCAAAAUAAAACACUCGCUUUCGAUCUGCUUCUCCCCUGUGUUUCUGUUUGCCAUGAUAAAAAACGAUUCCUUGUUGCUUCCUCUUGGAGCGGGCAGAGCAUGUAGGCGUAGGGCAGGGGGCGGCCAUGGCCAUUGCCCAUUGCUUUGACAGACAGCAGCUGCAUGCAUGCAUGUGGAUUGUUUUUAUAUCUUGAGUUUUUUUCCUUCAAUUUUACUACUCCAAUGUUUGUGUAUAGGCGAAAGAUUGGGUUUUGGCGACUCGGCAACGUUAUUCUGUGUAGCCCCACCAGCUUAUAUAUGGCCAGUGGCCCAGUGCCUGUGGCUAGUCGGUGGUGGCGGAGAAGGAUGGUGAGCAACAUGAGAUAUGGAAGGAGACUGAAAGGAGAAGCAGUGAAGCAGUGAAUGGUCGCGGUACACUUGUUAAUUUCCAUAAAACUUCCAUAUGGUCUCCACAUGGUAGCUGUCCAAUGUCCAAGUACUCCAUAGCUUCUCUUCGAUCCUUUUCCUUAACAGAUGCAACCACGCCAUUAUGGCAUUGCAAGCAAUGCAAUUGCGACCUGCACAAGCAAUGUCCAUUCACCUUCAUGGGGGCACGCCCAUGCGAUCGAUGGCAGCCUCCACAAGCAUUUGAUCUUCUCCCCCUCUGCCCAGCUGCUAGCUGUUAAUUUGUUGACUAUACUGUUCCCAGUACCGCCAUGAUCAUUGCUCUCCAUACCGCCCAACCAAAGAGUACCAUUGACACAUUGAAUUUGCACUGCCAGAGGAGGAAGAGACAGGUAGCAUGAAUGGGGCGGGUCCCAAGCAAUGGCAAGAAGAGCACCUUAAAUGGUCAGUUUCACGCCUAUCAGGUCCACAUACAACACACAGUGCUCAGGUUCAUAAAAAGGGGGGAAGGAUCAGGUCCACAUCAGUGAUGAGCCACACUGGCUGCUGCUGCUUCUGCUUUUGCAAAGGGUGUGGUGUGGGGGAAAGAGUAAGAUAGUACUAGUAGGCUUUCAAAAAAGAAGAGUGAGAUAGUGGAAGGGGUAUAAUCCCAGUGGGAGCUACUAGCAAUUUGCUAUUCCUGCUGCCAGUGUGGGGGAUCACUAUGCAGAAUGGAGCAGUGGGUUGAUUCUGCACAAGAUAAAAAUCAUGGAAACCAAUGGGGCUUGGGUUUUGGUGCCAUGCACCAAGUAUGGCUCGGCACACUUCUUUUCAUGAUCACAAUGGCUGGCUGGCUUUGCUGGCUUGCUGGCAAUGCACGCUUGUUCCCUUGACUACUGAACAUUCUGAUGCAGGCCACUAGCUUAGCAGGAUUAACCUGCCGUGCGUCUUCUGACCAGCACUGGCCACUCUAUCCUUACUAUCAUUCUGUGUUCAUCUUUAUGGAUUCACUUUUUACCCCCAUUGUGUCCACCUGCAGGAUGAUUUAUGUGCUGCUCAUAAUUAACCAUGAAUGCAUAAUUCGGCA